rnacentral:lncRNA from 10 species
UUUUUUUUUUUUUUUUUUUAAAGAGACUAGGUUUCACCAUGUUGCCCAGGCUGGUCUUGAACUCCUGAGCUCAGGUGAUGCAUCCACCUCAGCAUCUCAAAGCACUGGGAUUAUAGGCAUGAUCAGUACUUUCUAAUAAGCAGAACCAUUGUAGUCAGACUGCCCCGCCCCCUCCCCCGCCAGCAGCGUCUGGCUCAGAGGAGGGUCUGGGGCUCUUUGGGGGCUGCAGCCAUCUGGAAGCUCCACUGGAGCCGAUUGGUCUCAGUUGCCCCACUCGUGCUGCCCUAGUCUCCUCGUGCCUCACGUGCUGUCGGUGGUGCCCUUGCGCCCUCCUCACAGGGACUUUCCGGUGGAGGACGUUUUCACCCUGCCUGUGUACUUCUCGUCCGACUGGCUGAAUGAGUUCUGGGAUGCACUGGAUGUGGAUGACUACCGCUUUGUCUACGCGGGGCCUGCGGGCAGCUGGUCCCCGUUCCAUGCUGACAUCUUCCGCUCCUUCAGCUGGUCUGUCAAUGUCUGUGGGAGGAA